AACGCACCUUGCGCUCCUUGGUAUUCCGAGGAGCAUGCCUGUUUGAGUGUCAUUAAUAUAUCAACCUCCUCAGGUUUUUACUUGUUGAGUGUUUGGAUGUGGGGGGUAUUUUUUGCUGGUCUCUUUUGAGGUCGGCUCCCCUGAAAUGCAUUAGCGGAACAAUUUGUUGACCCGUUCAUUGGUGUGAUAAACUAUCUACGCUAUUGACGUGAAGCAGGUUCAGCUUCUAACAGUCCAUUGACUUGGACAAAUUUUCAUUAAUGUGACCUCAAAUCAGGUAGGACUACCCGCUGAACUUAA
rnacentral:misc_RNA from 1 species